rnacentral:rRNA from 1 species
UGCUACCGGACCUAGCGGCGGACGGGCGAGUAAUGCUUAGGAAUCUGCCUAUUAGUGGGGGACAACAUCUCGAAAGGGAUGCUAAUACCGCAUACGUCCUACGGGAGAAAGCAGGGGAUCUUCGGACCUUGCGCUAAUAGAUGAGCCUAAGUCGGAUUAGCUAGUUGGUGGGGUAAAGGCCUACCAAGGCGACGAUCUGUAGCGGGUCUGAGAGGAUGAUCCGCCACACUGGGACUGAGACACGGCCCAGACUCCUACGGGAGGCAGCAGUGGGGAAUAUUGGACAAUGGGGGGAACCCUGAUCCAGCCAUGCCGCGUGUGUGAAGAAGGCCUUAUGGUUGUAAAGCACUUUAAGCGAGGAGGAGGCUACUUUAGUUAAUACCUAGAGAUAGUGGACGUUACUCGCAGAAUAAGCACCGGCUAACUCUGUGCCAGCAGCCGCGGUAAUACAGAGGGUGCGAGCGUUAAUCGGAUUUACUGGGCGUAAA